GGCGACAUAGCCAAGUGGUAAGGCGUAGGUCUGCAAAACCUUGAUCGCGGGUCCGAAUCCCACUGUCGCCU
rnacentral:tRNA from 1 species